AUUAUUUAUUGGCCUUUUGGCUUAAUAUUAAUUGUGGUAUCUGUUCUAAUCAGUUUAAUAACUCAAAUGUCCUCUAAUCGAGGACAAUGUAUUAAAUACAUUUUUUGAGCAGGGAGAUGGAAGGGGAGCUUGCCCCAUCCAUUCAAUAAAUUGACCUGAUACUGCAGUACCUCCAGGAAUGGUGCACCCCCU
rfam:Tupaia chinensis contig233109, whole genome shotgun sequence.